ACACAUGCAAGUCGAGGGGCAGCGGAGAGGUAGUAAUACCUUUGCCGGCGACCGGCGCACGGGUGAGUAACACGUAUGCAAUCCACCUGUAACAGGGGGAUAACCCGGAGAAAUCCGGACUAAUACCCCAUAAUAUGGGUUCUCCGCAUGGAGGGUCCAUUAAAGAGAGCAAUUUUGGUUACAGACGAGCAUGCGCUCCAUUAGCCAGUUGGCGGGGUAACGGCCCACCAAAGCGACGAUGGAUAGGGGUUCUGAGAGGAAGGUCCCCCACAUUGGAACUGAGACACGGUCCAAACUCCUACGGGAGGCAGCAGUGAGGAAUAUUGGUCAAUGGUCGGCAGACUGAACCAGCCAAGUCGCGUGAGGGAAGACGGCCCUACGGGUUGUAAACCUCUUUUGUCGGAGAGUAAAGUACGCUACGUGUAGCGUAUUGCAAGUAUCCGAAGAAAAAGCAUCGGCUAACUCCGUGCCAGCAGCCGCGGUAAUACGGAGGAUGCAAGCGUUAUCCGGAUUUAUUGGGUUUAAAGGGUGCGUAGGCGGCACGCCAAGUCAGCGGUGAAAUUUCCGGGCUCAACCCGGACUGUGCCGUUGAAACUGGCGAGCUAGAGUGCACAAGAGGCAGGCGGAAUGCGUGGUGUAGCGGUGAAAUGCAUAGAUAUCACGCAGAACCCCGAUUGCGAAGGCAGCCUGCUAGGGUGCGACAGACGCUGAGGCACGAAAGCGUGGGUAUCGAACAGGAUUAGAUACCCUGGUAGUCCACGCAGUAAACGAUGAAUACUAACUGUUUGCGAUACAAUGUAAGCGGUACAGCGAAAGCGUUAAGUAUUCCACCUGGGGAGUACGCCGG
rnacentral:rRNA from 1 species